GCCUCUGUGGUGGAAUUGGUAGACGCGGCAGACUCAAAAUCUGCUGCCUUUCGCGGGCGUGCUGGUUCAAGUCCGGCCAGGGGCACCA
rnacentral:tRNA from 1 species